rnacentral:lncRNA from 1 species
GAGGUGAAGAUACGCAGGACGUCCUCUAAAGCAACUUCCGUGGGUGCCAGGUUGUGGGCUGGGGGCGGUGCUGACCUUGAGAGAGCGGAGGAGGCGCAGGCGCAGCACAGGUACGUGGGCGGGCGGAUCGUGGUGGCUGCGCUUGCGAGGACCCUGAGGUAGAUUGGGUGGUUUCAACAGGAACGCAUCCACUGUCUGAGAGUUUAAACUUGAUUUUGUGAGGGGACGAACAGCGUGACAAUUAAAAGAAGAUCUGGGAAUCGAAUACCCAUCUCGAGUUCUGGAUAUGUGCUCUGAGAAGGUGCCCAUGUCACCGACCACACUGGAGGCCAAUGCAGAUACUGGGGGAAGGUUCCAUGGUAGCUAAGUGUGGACAAGCUAAUCACUGAAGUUCCCUGAUGCAGAGUUGAUAAUCUCUCUAGAGUUGGAUGAAAGACUGUGCUGCCUUGAAGCUCUGAGAGAUGCCAUGCCAAUUCAAGGCAGGGUCUUUAUUGUUGAAACUCUUGCGUAAUGACAUCUUUAUUCAGGUGAAAAUACAGGAUGAAUUUCAACUAUAUGAUAUUGUUUAUGUUCCUCAGACAUGUUAUUUGUCUUUACAAAGAUUGGUUUCAAUAAACUGUGUGACUGAUAUUAAAUAAACAUGGAAUUUUACACAUUCAUAAU